ACCACUGACGUCAGCGGAGAGGGCGUGUUCUUGCCAUUGUUCCCGCCCUGGGCGUGGCUGGGGGCGUGGCCUUGCACCUGCUGCCUCAGAAUCACAUCCAGUUGGGAAGGACCUCAUGCCAGCCAUCAGAGAAGAGGGUCUACUGCUUCUUGCCAGGAGAACAGCAUAACCCAUGCUGCUGUUCCCAUGUAGAAACAGGAACCUUAGAACUUCCUCUUGGCCCAUUUAUUGUCUAAUAUCCUUCCAGCUAAUCAGAUCCAUCUUUGGGGCAGAAUGUCAAGAGCCGAGCUUUCUGCUGACGGUUGGAGUCCGUCUGUCCAAGUCCAACUGUUGUGGGACGUCUGAUCCCGACGCUCCACCCCUGUUGCUGCAUUACGUGAUUCCAGCUGGAAUGGGACUUUCUGACCCCUAUGUUUGACCCCUUCUGCUACAGGGACAUUACCCCUGCUUGUGUCAGGAAGGCGGAGGAGUUUAUAUUUAUGGAGACAGAACAAGGUUUUAUUCUGUAGGUAUCAGACUUUUUAACAGUUUAAUGGAGAUGGGUGGUCUUGCUUAUGGGAAGUGAGUCCUUUCAUGCUUUUAGGAUUGCCAGGCUGACUUCUAUACAACUACUUGGGUGCCAGGGCUUCUGAAAUGACUAUCUGAGCAUGAAAUUUUAAAUGUAUGUGGAUGCUUUUUUUUUCAUCUGGUUGUAAACUGGACUUUCUUGUAGUGGCAAGAGUAGCUUUUGUAAUCUUAUGUUAGAGCUGUGAGUUUCUUACCUGCUUGGGGGGAGGAAGGAGCGUGGUACAUCUUCUCGUUACACCCACAUCAGACUAUAAAUGAGGGAUGAAAAAGAGCAUCAUCUCUAGUAUAUGGUGUAUAGCCUUCCUUAUCUUCAUUACAAGGAUUCAGUCCUAGGAAAUUACAAGUCUGAGUCGUCUGUGUUCAACUGUGAUCUGAAUGGCCUGGGUUUGCUUCAAAGCGGCACAGGGUAUGCUAGGGCAUAUAGGUUUAAUGGGCCUCAUUUCUGCACUGCAGAUGAAAGUGACUGAAAACUAUAACUAUUUAAUUUAGAUACCUGUAAUUAAGCAUUUGGCUCUUACUUCACUGAAAAACAAUGAGCAAUCUGCCCAGCACAGCCUCGUAGCUCCCUAGAGUUACUAGCGACUUGGGGGUGUUUAUUAUCAUAGCUAAUAACUGUAAAGAUAAGGAUUUGUAAGCAAGGAGUAAUUUCACUCACUCCUCCUGGCUGAAUGGCGCUUGCCAGACCACUGGGCCAUAAUCCCACUCUAUUUUUCAGGGAGGGCUGCCGACUCCUACACUUCUACUCCUCCCUGAAAGCCUUACAUUAAGUUAAUUGGACUUAUUUAUUAUUGACUGUGGAGGGAAAUUAUUUUGGCUCCAUUUGGAUAAAAUUUAGUUCUUUGUGCCAAAUUCAGAUCUCGAAUAAGUCCAUCUACACUCAUUUAAUGAACGUGCAUUUAGUGACAUGAGGUCUUAAGUUAGCCUUUGAUGACUCUUGUUGACAUAAAAUCUAUGUCUUAUGUUCUCUUGAACUUCAAAAUAGAGUCUGAUUACAUUAUCUGAAUGUUUCCAAGUUUCGUAUAAGUAUAAAUUACAGUCAUCCAUAAAUAGCUGUUGCAGCAGACACAGUGUACAAAAAGUAAAAUAAAAUAGAAAUGAGCUCUGGUUUCUUGGAAAUCACUUUUAGCAUCUUAUAGGACAUCCAAAGAAUGGACUUUUACCUUCUGUCUCAGUGAAGUUAAAUUAGUUCCACAACCAGUCAACGACAGCCAUAUUAGCAGAUAAUUUAAGGUAUAUAUUGUGUACAGGAGCCAUGGCAAUGGAUGCAUAAUAAAUUAUUCUACAAAUAAAUGUAUACCAAGUUAAACCUUUAAAAUUGCCUCCUUCUGGAAUACUUUACAGAAUUUAAUUUAAUAUAUGCUAUCAGAAACAGUCAGUAGGUCAUAUUCCCAGACCCAAACUGAUGGCUCAAUCUUUCCAGGUGCCAAGUCUCCCAACUGGAUGGAAUGGACUUCACAGAUUCUUACACUUCUCAUUGUACUUUCGGAUUCGUAGAACUUGACAUUCAUUUGAUUCUGCAUAGGAGAUUACAGUAUUACCAGUAUUAACUCUACAAGAGUUAAUACAAUAGGCACUCUUUAUAAGGAAGCAUAUUUCCAAGAUGGCAGGGGAUAAAAGUCAAUAUGAAAUUGCCAAAUUAUUCAGCUCUUUGUAUACCUCCAUUUUUCCAGAUAAGUAUUGGGUAAAAUCACUUUUUGUUCUUACUUUAUCACUCAGCUGUUUGCACUCCAUUUAUAUCUUGAAGAAUAUGUUGAAUGUGCAAUGCCAAGAACGGUUUCUUCUAUUCUUUGCAUUCAGAAUGUUUAGAAUUAUGAAGAGUGCUCAUGGGAAAUUACAAAAUAGGGUUAUAUGAACAAAAAAACUUGUUCAGUCAUUUCUGUAAAAUCCAGUGCAUAUUGCCCAGCUAUGACAGAAGAUCUACAAUGUGCAAAGAACUCCCACAGUGUAAUGCACACAAGUAAACUCCUGCAUCCAUGGAGAGGGAUUUUCAGCUGUUUUAGGGUCCACCUGAGCAUAAUAGUGUAGGAUUUGUUGCUUAAGUUUACACAGGUUGACAUUUCAGUGUAGGGCCCACCACACUGUGGAGUUAGAGAUUGUCAGGAUCCUGAAAAGAAUCAUGGGGAAGAAGUCCUGGAACUAUUACAAGACUACUGGAUAUAAGGAUAUGUAGAUACAGUGGUCCUACCUCCUCCUUACACCAGACAUCUGCUUGUAAUGAAUUGGCUGGAGUCAGUGUUGUGUUGUAGCUACAGCAUCUACCUGUAUGUUGUACAGUGAGCUUUUCUCUCACUCCUUGCUUGCACACAGCCUCAGCAGUCAAGCUUAGGGUAGCAGGAUCAAUUCAUUUCUCAGAAGGCCUAUAGAUACCAUGGUGAUAAAUAUUAUAUAAAAGCCUAAACUGAGAUAGAUGAGUGGAUGAGCCAGAAACAAGGAAUUUAACUUUCAAGCAAUUUACUUACAAGAACAAUUGUCCCCCUUCUUUACCGCCCUCGAUAUAACAGAUUCCAGGCUUUGCAUCUGAGCAGGUUUAAUUUCUGCAUUGUGAUUUGUCUAAUGGGUCUAUUUAAAACCUUUUUUUGUUGCAAUGGUUGGGGAUGAAGUAAACAUAACUUUCUCAUCUCCAUAAACCUUUGGAUUUUUACUGCGUUUAAAAUCCUAUUUUAAGUGUUUCUGCCUUCAUGAUUCAUCGCUUAUUACUACUGUGUAGCUUAUUUAGCUGCGAGAAGAGAUAUUGUGUCUGUUAGAAGGAAUAAUCCCUGCAAUAGCAAUUUGAAGACAAACUUAAUAGAAUUAUUUGGAUAUGAUAAUGUUAAGAAAAGACCAUCUAGAAGUAACAGAAGAAUUAAUUCCUCAUGCCUCUCUCAAAAUUGGUGGAGGAACUCUGGAUAUUUCUUAAUUAAGACACCUGCUGGCUUUUUGGUGAUAAGGAAAUUAGUAUGCAGCAUGUUACAUCUGCUUCGCCCUGUUUUGAAUUUGAUUUCCAAUAGCUUUCCUGUGAUAGCAAGAUAAAGUUAGCCUCUCAAUCGUACAUGUCACAUAUUGCAGUUCUCAACUUGAAUUGAAAUGAGACUAAAACAAAUAUUUCUUGUACCUAUGAAAACCCUGGGUUGUAUGUGGAUUAAAUAGGGUUCUGGGUGGAGCAGUUUGUGAGACCGGGGGUCUAAGAUUUUUGUGUGGGCAAAUACACACUCAAGUGAAGCACUUUGUAAUAUAACAACCCCAACUUUCCAAUGUGGGAUUUCUUUUUUUUCCAGCUGGAUGCAUUUCCCCAGAUCACAAGUUGAUGAUGUAAGCAUGAAAAUCCAACUGCAGCCCUUUGGAAAAAGAGGCUGCUCUCUUCUUCCUCCACGAUUUACGUUUCUUUCUUUCGUGGCAUUUUGAGCCACCAGGGUCAUCUCUGAUGUACCUAUUUAUUAGGUGAUUUGUCUUGCAGCCUAUUUCCUUUUGGGCAGGGCCAGUCCUAGGGUAAUUGGGGCUCAAGGCAAACUGUGUACCUCGAUGUUCCCACCACUUUCAAUAUAGAAGAAAAUAAGAUGUCUAAAAUGAACUUUUAUGUGCAUGAACGCUGCCUGCCCCUGGUGCCUGGGGGGGCACGGCAAGCUCCCGCAGGUGGUGGUAGUGCUGUCAGCUGCGUGAGUUUGCCGGUGGUAAGCGGGGAGCUCCCGCAGGCAGCUGCAGCACUGUUGGUGGAGGGGUGUGUGGCAAGCGCCAGCUGGUAGUCGACAGCGGCCAGCAGCGAUUGCCGACUGGCAGUGUCGGCAGCAAGGUGUCGGGGUGACAAGCGGCGACCGCCCACAGGUGCCUCUGGCAGUGUUGGCGGUGCCAUGCACCCCCUACGCAUUGCCAACGCUUGCAUGUACUUAUUUGACAUUUGAAAUGAACAAUAAAACAAUUUAAACAAAUUUUA